rnacentral:rRNA from 1 species
UACGGAGGGUGCAAGCGUUAAUCGGAAUUACUGGGCGUAAAGCGUGUGUAGGCGGCUUUGUAAGUCGGAUGUGAAAGCCCCGGGCUCAACCUGGGAAGUGCACUCGAAACUGCAAAGCUUGAGUAUCGGAGAGGUUGGUAGAAUUCUCGGUGGAGAGGUGAAAUUCGUAGAUAUCGAGGGGAAUACCAGUGGCGAAGGCGGCCAACUGGACGAAUACUGACGCUGAGACACGAAAGCGUGGGGAGCAAACAGG